GCUUUGGUGACCUAGUGGUUAGAGUGUUCGCCUCGGAUGCGGGAGGUCGCGGGUUCAAACCCUAGUCGGGUUA